UACAGAGGUCUCAAGCGUUGUUCGGAUUCAUUGGGCGUAAAGGGUGCGUAGGUGGCGUGGUAAGUCGGGUGUGAAAUCUCGGAGCUUAACUCCGAAAACUGCAUUCGAUACUGGCAUGCUUGAGGACUGGAGAGGAGACUGGAAUUCAUGGUGUAGCAGUGAAAUGCGUAGAGAUCAUGAGGAAGACCAGUGGCGAAGGCGGGUCUCUGGACAGUUCCUGACACUGAGACACGAAGGCCAGGGGAGCAAACGGGGAU
rnacentral:rRNA from 1 species